GAUGAACGCUGGCGGCGUGCUUAACACAUGCAAGUCGAACGGAAAGGCUCCUGCUUGCAGGGGUACUCGAGUGGCGAACGGGUGAGUAACACGUGGGUGAUCUGCCCUGCACUUCGGGAUAAGCCUGGGAAACUGGGUCUAAUACCGGAUAGGACGAUGGUUUGGAUGCCAUUGUGGAAAGUUUUUCGGUGUGGGAUGAGCUCGCGGCCUAUCAGCUUGUUGGUGGGGUAAUGGCCUACCAAGGCGUCGACGGGUAGCCGGCCUGAGAGGGUGUACGGCCACAUUGGGACUGAGAUACGGACCAGACUCCUACGGGAGGCAGCAGUGGGGAAUAUUGCACAAUGGGCGCAAGCCUGAUGCAGCGACGCCGCGUGGGGGAUGACGGCCUUCGGGUUGUAAACUCCUUUCGCUAGGGACGAAGCGCAAGUGACGGUACCUGGAGAAGAAGCACCGGCUAACUACGUG
rnacentral:rRNA from 1 species